AUGAACGCUAGCGGCAGGCCUAAUACAUGCAAGUCGAACGGGAUUGAGAAGCUUGCUUUUCCUGAGAGUGGCGCACGGGUGCGUAACACGUAUGUAACCUACCUUAAUCUGGGGGAUAGCCUCUCGAAAGAGAGAUUAACACCGCAUAACAUUAUCGGACAGCAUUUUCUGAUAAUCAAAUAUUUAUAGGAUUAAGAUGGGCAUGCGGAACAUUAGCUAGUUGGUAAGGUAAUGGCUUACCAAGGCUACGAUGUUUAGGGGAUCUGAGAGGAUGACCCCCCACACUGGUACUGAGACACGGACCAGACUCCUACGGGAGGCAGCAGUAAGGAAUAUUGGUCAAUGGGCGCAAGCCUGAACCAGCCAUGCCGCGUGCAGGAAGACGGCCCUACGGGUUGUAAACUGCUUUUGUACCGGAAUAAACCUUUUCACGUGUGAGAAGCUGAAUGUACGGUAAGAAUAAGGAUCGGCUAACUCCGU
rnacentral:rRNA from 1 species